GUGAAUCGUUUAGUCAUUAAGCACAAUACACAAGUCUGUAUGUUGAUUACAGAUCUACGAUCUCAAAGGCAGACAGGAUUUUGCGCAAUUUUAACUUUUUCUUCCUCCAACAAUUUGGGGGCAGGAGCAAUAAUUAAAAAGGGUCGGCAGAAGAACGUUCAGGUCUUGCUCGGAACCGUUAACAGUCUUGAAGUUGACUCAAGGCAGCUCACGUAAUCCUCACAUGCAAAGAACGCUGCGUUGACCGACCUGAGAUUCGUAGGCACUAAAAACUCACUAUGGCCACCAGCCCCAAAGUUCCUUCAACGAUUGCAUUGCUAAUCGAACAUAAACUCCGUUUGUAAAACGAGAAAGUGCAUAAGAAGGCCAGGUUUAGAGUUCAAUGAUGAGACCAUAACUUACCAAUCAAAAUGUAUUUUAAAUCAUAUCUGGAAUCGCCUUUUAUCGGUACCCCUAGCAUAUCCCCAACUGUCUCGUCUGCAGGUACAAUUUCAAGCCCUGUCAAUUUUGGUUUUUUUCCAAAGACGUGUGUUUAUAACUCACGCGUAAGUCCAGAUGAAAAUUUCUUGAACCAAGGGUCUUUCAAAAUUUGUGAAGGCCUGUUCCAACUCAGCUGCCUCUCAUUAUGUAAUAGUCAUAGAUAAUUCACAACAUGCUCAGCAAAACCAAAAAAAUCCUCAUUAACUUGUCCUGAAAAUGACAACAUCAAAUCGCACCAACCCCCUCACGGAAAAGGACGAACUAACAUGUACACGGAAACUGCAGCACGAUGUGAUGUUCAAGGUUACGUUCUCACUUUUAGUGAUGAACCGAAUCAGCCAUGCACCAAGAAUAGCAACAUGCGAAUAGAAGCAACAAACAUUACUGAGCACACUUGAAGCAAACCAUAUCACAAAAUUCGUAAGCCAACGCAUGUUGCCUCCAAUCUGACAGCUCCCUUUGGCACUCAGGUCCACUGGUAUCGUGUAACUUAAAAAAUCAAAAUGCACAAUGUCUGAAUUCACGAGACAUUUGAGAGGUGCAUUGAGCCGUCAUUAAAGUGAUAUAAUAGGAAUAGGCUUUAAUAGCGGAAGAACAUAAGUAGUUGCAAUUCUGUUUAGCAAAACGGAACUAAAAUGUGUGAAGUGAAUAGUUCUUACAAAAUAGUUGUCAGUCCCAAAAAAAGAGUAACCAGAUCAAUCAAAAUGCAGCCAGCUUCACAUGCCAUGAUUCCACUGAC
rnacentral:lncRNA from 1 species